GAUUGUGGGCCAAGGCUUCGUUUGAAUAGAAGUGCAACUUUGUAACUUCACUUUAGCCUCUGAUUGCAGGCCACCACUUCAUUUACAUGGGGUGAGCACCAAGUAAGUGGCCAAUGGGAAACAUCUAGAGGGUAUUUGGACCCGAGAAGAUUCUGUAUCUGGGGCCCUUGAGCUGCUGCUCAGCCUGCUCCCACACUGUGAAGUGUACUUUCACUUUCAAUAAAUCUCUGCUUUCCUUGCUUCAUUCUUUCCUAGCUUUACUGUGCGUUUUGUCCAAUUAUUUGUUCAAAACGCCAAGAACCUGGACAACUUGCUGUCCGCAACCAAUCAGACUGAUUGUGGGCUGAAUCUUCAUUUGCAUGGAAGUGCAACUUUGUAACUUCACUUUAGCCUCUGAUUGCGGGCCACCACUUCAUUUACAUGAGGCAAACACCAAUGCGUUUUGUUCAAUUCUUUGUUCAAAACCCCAAGAAUCUGGACAACUUGCACUCAAGACCCUCUACGGGUUUGGCGAGCCAGGUAGGAGGAAGCCCAAAGUAUGGGAUUUAUUUUUCUCCUUUCUUCUUUUCCUCUCUGCUACAUACAGGGGAAUCUUUCUCUCUUUCUUUUCCUUUCCAACUCGGGACUCUUGGUGAACAGUGCCUAAGCAUAGUGACAACUGCAAGUUUCUGGCCAGAGCCUCUCUCUGGUGAAACUGAAAGGCUUCCAUGUGGAAGCGUCUGAGUAAC
rnacentral:lncRNA from 10 species